rnacentral:rRNA from 1 species
UACGGGGGGGAGCAAGCGUUGUUCGGAUUUACUGGGCGUAAAGGGCGCGUAGGCGGCCACUGCAAGUCGGUUGUGAAAUCUCCGGGCUUAACCCGGAAAGGUCAAUCGAUACUGCAGGGCUAGAGUGCAGAAGGGGCAACUGGAAUUCUCGGUGUAGCGGUGAAAUGCGUAGAUAUCGAGAGGAACACCUGCGGCGAAGGCGGGUUGCUGGGCUGACACUGACGCUGACAGCGCGAAAGCUAGGGGAGCGAACGGG